rnacentral:rRNA from 1 species
ACGGGACACGUGAAACCCUGUGGGAAGCAGGAGGGACCACCCUCCAAGGCUAAAUACUACCUAGUGACCGAUAGCGUAUAGUACCGUGAGGGAAAGGCGAAAAGAACCCCGGGAGGGGAGUGAAAUAGAACCUGAAACCCUGCACUUACAAGCUGUGGAAGCACAUUUCUUGUGUGACCGCGUACUUUUUGUAGAACGGGCCAACGAGUUACGUUAAGUAGCAAG